CCCCCCUCAGGGUCACACCUGGAGAGAUUCCAGUACUCUACCAGUUUCAACUACAGGAGGGAGAGUCAAGCAGAGGCAUAUCCAUUCUAUUCCUAGCUUGGGCAGUGACUAGUGAGUGGAAGGCAAUCUGCUACAAGU
rnacentral:snoRNA from 1 species